CCUACGGGAGGCAGCAGUGAGGAAUAUUGGUCAAUGGGCGCAAGCCUGAACCAGCCAAGUCGCGUGCGGGAUGACGGCCCUACGGGUUGUAAACCGCUUUUGCACGGGGGUAACCCCCUCCACGUGUGGCGGUCUGCAAGUACCGUGCGAAUAAGGGCCGGCUAAUUCCCUGCCAGCAGCCGCGGUAAUACGGGAGGCACGAGGGUUAUCCGGAUUCAUUGGGGUUAAAGGGAGCGUAGGCGGGCGGUAAAGUCAGCUGUAAAAUCGGGAGGCUCACCUGCGCACCGCAGGUGAGACUGGUCGUCUUGAGUGCACAAGAGGGAGGCGGAAUGCGUGGUGUAGCGGUGAAAUGCAUAGAUAUCACGAAGAACCCCGAUUGCGAAGGCAGCAUGCCGGGGUGCGACUGACGCUGAGGCACGAAGGCGUGGGGAGCAAACAGGAUUAGAUACCCGUGUAGUC
rnacentral:rRNA from 1 species